rnacentral:rRNA from 1 species
GAUGAACGCUGGCGGCGUGCCUAAUACAUGCAAGUCGAGCGAACAGACGAGAAGCUUGCUCCUCUGACGUUAGCGGCGGACGGGUGAGUAACACGUGGAUAACCUACCUAUAAGACUGGGAUAACUUCGGGAAACCGGAGCUAAUACCGGAUGAUAUUUUGAACCGCAUGGUUCAAUAGUGAAAGACGGUUUUGCUGUCACUUAUAGAUGGAUCCGCGCUGCAUUAGCUAGUUGGUAAGGUAACGGCUUACCAAGGCAACGAUGCGUAGCCCACCUGAGAGGGUGAUCGGCCACACUGGAACUGAGACACGGUCCAGACUCCUACGGGAGGCAGCAGUAGGGAAUCUUCCGCAAUGGGCGAAAGCUUGACGGAGCAACGCCGCGUGAGUGAUGAAGGUCUUCGGAUCGUAAAACUCUGUUAUUAGGGAAGAACAAAUGUGUAAGUAACUGUGCACGUCUUGACGGUACCUAAUCAGAAAGCCACGGCUAACUACGUG